GGGCGAAUAGCUCAGCGGUAGAGCGGCGCCUUUACACGGCGUUGGCCGCAGGUUCGAUCCCUGCUUCGCCCA
rnacentral:tRNA from 1 species